UGAAAGCCUCUGAGAUAAAAAUACACAAGAUCGGUGAACACAGAGAGAGUCACUGAGACAAGCUUAGGGUUGACCCUAAGCUUGAACCAGAGGGAAAACUCAGACCUCCACCGAGUAGGAUGGGCGGUAGGAGGCUGGGGUGCAAUGACCCUGAAGGAUGCUGAGGGACCCACCACUGCUCCUGUGACCUCCACCUGACGUUCCUCAGGGAAGUGACACCCCCUCCAAAAUAUGCAACGAGAGAGGCCCUGGGGAGAUGCAGGCUUGGGUUUCAGAUGUGGGCGAUUCUCACAGCUCCACUUCUAGGCCUUGAUCUGCAGCCCGCUCACUCCACGCCGCUGAGACUCAGUUUUCUCAUCUGCCAAGUGAGAGGUCUGGAUUUGGAGAUGAUUAUUACAGCUAAUAUUUGCUGAACAUUUACUGUGUGCCAGGCAUCGCGCCAGACACUUUGCAUCGGUACCUCGUUCAGCCUUCACAUCCGCCCAGUGAGAUGGAAAAACUGAGCCCAGAGUGGGGCCAGGACAUGCCCAACAUCACAGCACAGAUGAAGACACAGCCAGGACCAGAGCCCAAAUCUCCUACACCAGUGGGCUUUCCCCCCUGAGCCUGAACAUGGAGUCACCACUGGCUCAGUGAUUACUGAGUGGAAAGGGAUUCGAGACGGCAGAGCACUGUGCGGGGAUAGCUGGGCAUGAGGGGAGAGAACGCAAGCCUCAGCUGGGAAUCGGGAACUCUUGGAUUCUCGUCUUCACAGAUUGACUUAAUUCACCACUUCAGAGAGGUCUGUGCGUUCACUUGUUCAUUGAUUCAUUUAUUCAACAAAUGACUUCUUAGGUAACCUCUCUGGACCUCAGUCUCCUGAUCUGUAAAUGGGCAGAAUGCCUUUCCCAGGAUGGUUGUGAAAACAAAUGAGAAAACAGGUGGGCAACUUCUGGUGACUGAGCACAGGUGCAUGCGUGGUUGCAGCAGAUGGCAGUGCCGCCCACGUGCCUCGGCUAUUCCUGUGGCUCAUGCCUAUGGGACAGCUUCCAACCACAGCACCUGCAACUCCCCCCGCUCCACGACAGUGUUCUCUGGUCAGUGGUGGGGGACAAGCCAGAGUCCUGGGAGUUAGCACUCCCCUAGGAGAGACUCUCAAGCAAUGAUGGAACGGAGCCGAGGAAUACACACUCAGUUCCCUCCCCGCUCAGCUGGGGUAACUCAGCUGUGUUCUACCUGUCUUCCCAGGCUCCCCAGUGGGAUGGAGCCCCGGUUGCCCACAGCAGUAACUUGCUGGCUAAUGCAUAUUUCUCCCUGGCUUCUUCCCCACCCCCUUACAGGUACUCCUUGGGAUCAUAAAUGAACUACCUGCAACUCACAUCCUAGUGUGAGUUGCAGGGUCUGCUUUCAGAUCAGCCCAGACUCAGGCAUGAACACAUCACAUGUCAUCUCAUCUCACCUUCACAACACCCCUGGGAGGUGGGCCUGCUGUCCCACUCUACAGAAACAAAUGCUCAGAAAGCUUAAGGUCAUUGUCAAGAAAAUGGCAGAUAUGGAAUUUCUCCCCAGGACUGUCUGUCUCCAGAGACAACACUCAACUAUCAUGUUAUGCGUCAUCCCACCUCACCCCCAGGGACCUCCCUCAUAAUGGAAGCAGCAGCAAAGACUUCAUAAUGAACAGCACCAGGUAAGUGCUUGUGGAGAUGAGAGCAUUGCAACGUUGCCUGCUGUCCUGCAGGCAGUGGUCCCGCAGCAAUCCACCAUGUUUCCUGGGGACAUGAGACCUGAGCUGGGUGUUUAAGGAUGCACUGGAGUUGUCCAGGUGGUGAAUAAGAGAAUGCACUCCAGGCAGAAGGAAGAGCAGGUGCAAAGGCUUACAGACACAAAAGAGGGUGUUGUAUUUAAGGAAUGCCGGAAAGCAAUGAAGAUUCUAGAGGCACCUGCACUCCUUGGCUUGUGGCCUCUUCCUCCAUCUCAAAGUACAUCGCUCCAAUUUCCGCUUCUGUCAUCACAUCGCCUUUUCCUCCAGCUCCAACUCCUCCUGCAUCCAUCUGAAAAGGAUAAUCCAGGAUAUUCUCCCCAUCUCAAGAUCCUUCAUCACAUCUGCAAAGUCUCAGAUAUGGGUGGGGCUGAGGAUAUAAUCAGUUCUGGGCAAAAUUCCUCUGGAUGUACAGAUUUGUGAAACUAGAAAACAAGUUUUCUGCUCCCAAAAUACAGUGGUGGGACAGCAUAAGACAACAGUUACAGACAUUUCCAUUCAAAUAGGGAGAAAAUGGAAGGAAAAAAGGAGUCACCAGUCCCAAGCAAUUUCAAAAUCCAAUCAGACAAACUCCAUCAGGUUUCAAGGCCUGGGAAAAGUCCUCUGCCCUCCAUAGGCAAAACAGCAACAACAGCAGCAACUUUGGACCUUACCUCACACCAUCUAUAAAAAUGAACUCAAAUGAAUUAUAGUCCCCUAAAGAAGCAUUAUGCUAAGUGGAAAAGCCAGACACAAAAGCACACAUUGUAUAGGAUUCAAUACAUAUUAAAUUCUAGGAAAUACACCAGCUAUCAUGACAGAAGGCAGAUCAGUGACGGCCAGUGGCCAGGUAGCAGGGGAAGAAACUGAUUGACCACAAAGUAGUGUGGGGUGGUUUUGGGGGUGAUGGAAAUGUUCUCACAACUGUAUAUGUUUUCAAAACUCAUCCAACUAUAUACUAGAAAGGGUGAUUUUUAUUUUAUGUAAACUAUACCCUAUUUUUUUUU